rnacentral:rRNA from 1 species
GACGAACGCUGGCGGCGUGCUUAACACAUGCAAGUCGAACGGUGAAGCUCCAGCUUGCUGGAGUGGAUCAGUGGCGAACGGGUGAGUAACACGUGAGCAACCUGCCCCUGACUCUGGAAUAAGCGCUGGAAACGGCGUCUAAUACUGGAUACGAGAAGGGUCCGCAUGGGCACUUUCUGGAAAGUUUUUCGGUUGGGGAUGGGCUCGCGGCCUAUCAGCUUGUUGGAGAGGUAAUGGCUCACCAAGGCGACGACGGGUAGCCGGCCUGAGAGGGCGACCGGCCACACUGGGACUGAGACACGGCCCAGACUCCUACGGGAGGCAGCAGUGGGGAAUAUUGCACAAUGGGCGAAAGCCUGAUGCAGCGACGCCGCGUGAGGGAUGACGGCCUUCGGGUUGUAAACCUCUUUCAGCAGGGAAGAAGCGAAAGUGACGGUACCUGCAGAAGAAGCACCGGCUAACUACGUG